rnacentral:rRNA from 1 species
UGCCCUAAAGUCUGGGAUACCACUUGGAAACAGGUGCUAAUACCGGAUAACAACAAUAGCUGCAUGGCUAUUGCUUAAAAGGCGGCGAAAGCUGUCGCUAAAGGAUGGACCCGCGGUGCAUUAGCUAGUUGGUAAGGUAAUGGCUUACCAAGGCGACGAUGCAUAGCCGAGUUGAGAGACUGAUCGGCCACAUUGGGACUGAGACACGGCCCAAACUCCUACGGGAGGCAGCAGUAGGGAAUCUUCCACAAUGGGCGAAAGCCUGAUGGAGCAACGCCGCGUGAGUGAAGAAGGUUUUCGGAUCGUAAAGCUCUGUUGUUGGUGAAGAAGGAUAGAGGUAGUAACUGGCCCCUAUUUGACGGUAAUCAACCAGAAAGUCACGGCUAACUACGUGCCAGCAGCCGCGGUAAUACGUAGGUGGCAAGCGUUGUCCGGAUUUAUUGGGCGUAAAGCGAGCGCAGGCGGAAAGAUAAGUCUGAUGUGAAAGCCCCCGGCUUAACCGAGGAAUUGCAUAGGAAACUGUGUUUCUUGAGUGCAGAAGAGGAGAGUGGAACUCCAUGUGUAGCGGUGGAAUGCGUAGAUAUAUGGAAGAACACCAGUGGCGAAGGCGGCUCUCUGGUCUGUAACUGACGCUGAGGCUCGAAAGCAUGGGUAGCGAACAGGAUUAGAUACCCUGGUAGUCCAUGCCG